UACGUAGGGUCCGAGCGUUAAUCGGAAUUACUGGGCGUAAAGCGUGCGCAGGCGGUUUUGUAAGUCUGUCGUGAAAGCCCCGGGCUCAACCUGGGAAUUGCGAUGGAGACUGCAAGGCUUGAAUCUGGCAGAGGGGGGUAGAAUUCCACGUGUAGCAGUGAAAUGCGUAGAGAUGUGGAGGAACACCGAUGGCGAAGGCAGCCCCCUGGGUCAAGAUUGACGCUCAUGCACGAAAGCGUGGGGAGCAAACAGG
rnacentral:rRNA from 1 species